rnacentral:rRNA from 1 species
AUUGAACGCUGGCGGCAUGCUUUACACAUGCAAGUCGAACGGUAACAGGCCGCAAGGUGCUGACGAGUGGCGAACGGGUGAGUAAUGCAUCGGAACGUGCCCAGUCGUGGGGGAUAACGCAGCGAAAGCUGCGCUAAUACCGCAUACGAUCUAUGGAUGAAAGCGGAGGACCGUAAGGCCUCGCGCGAUUGGAGCGGCCGAUGUCAGAUCAGGUAGUUGGUGGGGUAAAGGCUCACCAAGCCAACGAUCUGUAGCUGGUCUGAGAGGACGACCAGCCACACUGGGACUGAGACACGGCCCAGACUCCUACGGGAGGCAGCAGUGGGGAAUUUUGGACAAUGGGCGCAAGCCUGAUCCAGCAAUGCCGCGUGCAGGAAGAAGGCCUUCGGGUUGUAAACUGCUUUUGUACGGAACGAAACGGUCCUGGUUAAUACCUGGGGCUAAUGACGGUACCGUAAGAAUAAGCACCGGCUAACUACGUGCCAGCCGCCGCGGUAACAC